AGAGUUUGAUCAUGGCUCAGAUUGAACGCUGGCGGCAGGCCUAACACAUGCAAGUCGAGCGGUAGCACAGAGAGCUUGCUCUCGGGUGACGAGCGGCGGACGGGUGAGUAAUGUCUGGGAAACUGCCUGAUGGAGGGGGAUAACUACUGGAAACGGUAGCUAAUACCGCGUAAUGUCGCAAGACCAAAGUGGGGGACCUUCGGGCCUCAUGCCAUCAGAUGUGCCCAGAUGGGAUUAGCUAGUAGGUGGGGUAACGGCUCACCUAGGCGACGAUCCCUAGCUGGUCUGAGAGGAUGACCAGCCACACUGGAACUGAGACACGGUCCAGACUCCUACGGGAGGCAGCAGUGGGGAAUAUUGCACAAUGGGCGCAAGCCUGAUGCAGCCAUGCCGCGUGUGUGAAGAAGGCCUUCGGGUUGUAAAGCACUUUCAGCGGGGAGGAAGGCGGUGAGGUUAAUAACCUCAUCGAUUGACGUUACCCGCAGAAGAAGCACCGGCUAACUCCGUGCCAGCAGCCGCGGUAAUACGGAGGGUGCAAGCGUUAAUCGGAAUUACUGGGCGUAAAGCGCACGCAGGCGGUCUGUCAAGUCGGAUGUGAAAUCCCCGGGCUCAACCUGGGAACUGCAUUCGAAACUGGCAGGCUAGAGUCUUGUAGAGGGGGGUAGAAUUCCAGGUGUAGCGGUGAAAUGCGUAGAGAUCUGGAGGAAUACCGGUGGCGAAGGCGGCCCCCUGGACAAAGACUGACGCUCAGGUGCGAAAGCGUGGGGAGCAAACAGGAUUAGAUACCCUGGUAGUCCACGCCGUAAACGAUGUCGAUUUGGAGGUUGUGCCCUUGAGGCGUGGCUUCCGGAGCUAACGCGUUAAAUCGACCGCCUGGGGAGUACGGCCGCAAGGUUAAAACUCAAAUGAAUUGACGGGGGCCCGCACAAGCGGUGGAGCAUGUGGUUUAAUUCGAUGCAACGCGAAGAACCUUACCUGGUCUUGACAUCCACAGAACUUUCCAGAGAUGGAUUGGUGCCUUCGGGAACUGUGAGACAGGUGCUGCAUGGCUGUCGUCAGCUCGUGUUGUGAAAUGUUGGGUUAAGUCCCGCAACGAGCGCAACCCUUAUCCUUUGUUGCCAGCGGUUCGGCCGGGAACUCAAAGGAGACUGCCAGUGAUAAACUGGAGGAAGGUGGGGAUGACGUCAAGUCAUCAUGGCCCUUACGACCAGGGCUACACACGUGCUACAAUGGCAUAUACAAAGAGAAGCGACCUCGCGAGAGCAAGCGGACCUCAUAAAGUAUGUCGUAGUCCGGAUUGGAGUCUGCAACUCGACUCCAUGAAGUCGGAAUCGCUAGUAAUCGUAGAUCAGAAUGCUACGGUGAAUACGUUCCCGGGCCUUGUACACACCGCCCGUCACACCAUGGGAGUGGGUUGCAAAAGAAGUAGGUAGCUUAACCUUCGGGAGGGCGCUUACCACUUUGUGAUUCAUGACUGGGGUGAAGUCGUAACAAGGUAACCGUAGGGGAACCUGCGGUUG
rnacentral:rRNA from 1 species